CUUGAACUCCUGACCUCAAGUGACCUGUCCGCCUUGGCCUCCCAAAGUGCUGGGAUUACAGGUGUGAGCCACGGUGCCCAGCCAAUAUUUGCUCCUUUUACAUUUAAUAUAAUCAUCGACGAAGUUGAGUUUAAGUCUACCAUUCUGUCAUCUGUUCUGUUUGUCCCAUCUGUUCUUCAUUCCUCUCUCUUUCCCUGCAUUUCUUUGGAGUAAUCAGUUAUUUUUUUACUAUUCCAUUUUCUCCUCUAUUAGCUUUUCGUUAUAUAUUCUUUUUUCAUUUAGAGGUUGCUCUAGAGAUUACAAAUACACUUUUGACUGAUUACCACCCGCCUCCAGCCUUUUGUUCUACAGUUGUCGUAUUUUUGUUUCCACAUAUUUUAAAUCCCACAAGCCACAACUAUUAUUUUAAACAGUCAGAAUUUGUAUUUACUCACAUUUAUCCUUACCAUUGUUCAUUUCUUUCUGCAGUUCUUUGCUUUUAUCUGUUAUUUUCUUGCAACACAAAGAACUUGCUUUAAUAUUCUCUAGUGUCAGCAUAUCAGCAAUAUAUUUUCUGAGCUUUAGUUUGUCUUCAUUUUACUUUACUAUUGAAGGAUAUUCUAGAUUUAGAAUUCUAGACCAGCCUGACCAAGAUGGAGAAACCCUGCCUCUACUAAAAAUACAAAAUUAGCCAGGCGUGGUGGCACAUGCCUGUAAUCCCAGCUACUCGGGAGGCUGAAGCAGGAGAAUCGCUUGAACCCGGGAGGCAGAGGUUGCAGUUAGCCAAGAUCACGCCAUUGCACUCCAAGCCUCGGCCACACGAGCAAAACUCCAUCUCAAAAUAAAUAAAGAAUUCUAGGUUGUCAUUUUUUUUCUUUCAGUGCUUUAAAGAGAACACCAUUCUAUUGUCUUCUGUCUUCCACAGUUUCAGGUGAUAGAUCAGCCAUCAUUCAUAUUAUUGUUCCCUGAAGAUAAUGAAUUUUUUCUUCUGACAGCAUUUAACAUUUUCUCUUUCUCUUGGAUUUCUAGCAGCUAUGUUCAAUAUGGUUUUCUCUCUAUUUACCCUGCUUGGAAUCACACAGCUUCUUUAAUAUGUGCUUGGAUAUCUCUGUUUUGGAAAAUUAUUAGUCAAUAUUUCCAUCCCAUUGUAUGUCUAUCUCCUCUCUUUCUGGGAUUCCUAUUAUACAUGAUAGACCUUUCCACUGUCUAUCAGCAAUACAUAAGUCUCUCAUGCUUUCUUCUGUACACUUUUUUUUUUCUGUCAGCACUAGAUAAUUUCUAUUGGUUUUUGGUCAAUUCAGUUUCAUUAGCUUGUCCAAAACAGCAUAUCCUAUUUUGGUGAAUGAAAUACUGAAUUAUGGAUACAAAAUUGUAGAAGUUUUAGAUAAUACCUUUCUCCAAAGAAGGCUGUUUCCUUUUAGCAGCAGCACAGCAGUAACUCAUUUUCCUGAGGGCUGGUCUGUUUUAGUUUUGCCUUCAAUCUUAGGCAGUGGUCAUGAUGGGGCCACAGUGGAAAACUCAGGGUGUAAUAAGGCCCCUCUAACUUGGCAGGAUUUGAACUUCCAUUUUUGCCUCUCUGGCAUUAGAUACUGAAAUGUCUGCUCAGAUCUUUAGCUUUUCAGCUACUGUUUUCUGCUGGGUUUCUUCUCUUGCUUAUGUGUACCUCUGAAGUCAGUCAAUGACUUUAGAGGGACCUGACUGCAGAUUUUGAGGUUAGAUUUUAUGUGGUUCUCUCCUCUCCUGGACUUAAGCUUCAAUUGCUUUAGUGGCCCCAAACUUCCACCUUUCUUCCUUAGCCCAGUGAGACCGUCACUUUUUAUUUGGGAUCUAUUUCCCCUAUGCCACAAACUAGGAAAUGUCUCCAGGGAAAAAAGCCAGGGUGACUGGUGAGCUCACACUAUACGCUUCCCUUGUCAAAGAUCAAAACCCCUCAACAAUUUUCUGUGUUGGCUGCCUCUUCAACAAUGG
rnacentral:lncRNA from 10 species